rnacentral:rRNA from 1 species
GACAGAGGGUGCAAACGUUGUUCGGAAUUACUGGGCGUAAAGCGAGUGUAGGCGGUCUCAUAAGUCGGGUGUGAAAGCCCUGGGCUCAACCCAGGAAGUGCACUCGAUACUGCGAGACUAGAGUAUCGGAGAGGUUGGUGGAAUUCUCGGUGUAGAGGUGAAAUUCGUAGAUAUCGAGAGGAACACCGGUGGCGAAGGCGGCCAACUGGACGAAUACUGACGCUGAGACUCGAAAGCGUGGGGAGCAAACAGG